CAAAAAAGUGUCAGUAUUCACUUCAAAAACUAACAAAACCUUUGAAUAGACUUAUUAAGAAGGGAUAUAGUUACGAUACUGUUGUCAGGUCAUUAAAGAUUGCAUACUUUGGCGUUAAUAUUGAUUCACUUAUAGGGUCUUUGCAUCGGAACUAAACACAUUUAUUCAAAAACCAGUUGUUGGCAUGACACGGGUUAUGUUCUUCUCAUAUAUGUUAUGAUGGUAUGAUACUAAACCCCUAACGGGAAUGAUUGUGCCUGAUGUUCAUAUGAUGCAAUCAUAAUCUUUC
rnacentral:lncRNA from 1 species